rnacentral:rRNA from 1 species
AACGAACGCUGGCGGCAUGCCUAACACAUGCAAGUCGAACGAGACCUUCGGGUCUAGUGGCGCACGGGUGCGUAACGCGUGGGAACCUGCCCUUAGGUUCGGAAUAACUCCCCGAAAGGGGUGCUAAUACCGGAUAAUGUCUUCGGACCAAAGAUUUAUCGCCUUUGGAUGGGCCCGCGUUGGAUUAGCUAGUUGGUAGGGUAAAAGCCUACCAAGGCGACGAUCCAUAGCUGGUCUGAGAGGAUGAUCAGCCACACUGGGACUGAGACACGGCCCAGACUCGUACGGGAGGCAGCAGUGGGGAAUAUUGGACAAUGGGCGAAAGCCUGAUCCAGCAAUGCCGCGUGAGUGAGGAAGGCCUUAGGGUUGUAAAGCUCUUUUACCCGGGAUGAUAAUGACAGUACCGGGAGAAUAAGCUCCGGCUAACUCCGUG